UAUAUGCGUACGUUCAGCACAAACUUUAAAGCUUCUAGCACGCUUCUACUAAUAGCGAAGUAACCUCAAGUGAGGAUACUGUGAAGUAGCCUUCACUGUUCGAUUCGAGGCAAGAGCAAUGUGGUAUUCUGUCACUGGAGACGACAUUGGGAUCUUCACUAUUUUGGCAACAUUGCCACAGAGCUGUCUGGCCCUUACGCGUAAAUAUACUUCCAGCUAUUGUUGUUAUUAGUGGUGAGAUCCUACUACAGUGCUCCAGGGUUGUACCAGGACGAAAAACAAUCGGAGAAAUACCCAUAACUGAACAUUCUCAAGAAGCAGGACACAGACCCCAUGCACAAGGAAGUCAGAAAAAAGCAAGCCGUCGUCCACAGAAAACAGGGAUUUCGUCAAGGACCCUUCCCUGGUAUGUCUGACUGGGAACCCUUGCAGACACGGCUGAUCAUCUGACAAACAAAACUGUUGCUGUAUUUGUUCCGGGCCCAUUUUUCUCUUCCUUGUAACUUGCAUCUGACAAGGACAGCCAAAGGUUUAGUUCGCAUUAAAGAAGAGGCAAGACAUAAUACUGGUGUCUUCGAG